rnacentral:rRNA from 1 species
AAUGAACGCUGGCGGCGCGCCUAAUACAUGCAAGUCGAGCGAGAAGACGUAGCAAUACGUUUGUAAAGCGGCGAACGGGUGAGGAAUACAUGGGUAACCUACCCUAGAGUGGGGAAUAACUAGCCGAAAGGUUAGCUAAUACCGCGUACGCUCCUUGGACUUCGGUUCAGGGAGGAAAGCGAUGCCGAGGGUAUCGCGCUCUUGGAUGGGCUCAUGUCCUAUCAGCUUGNGGUGAGGUAACGGCUCACCAAGGCUUCGACGGGUAGCUGGUCUGAGAGGACGAUCAGCCACACUGGCACUGCGACACGGGCCAGACUCCUACGGGAAGCAGCAGUAAGGAAUAUUGCGCAAUGGGCGAAAGCCUGACGCAGCGACGCCGCGUGGGGGAUGAAGGUCUUCGGAUUGUAAACCCCUUUCGGGAGGGAAGAUGGAAUGGGGUAACCCAUUCGGACGGUACCUCCAGAAGCAGCCACGGCUAACUUCGUGCCA